GAUGAAGAACGUAGCGAAAUGCGAUAAGUAAUGUGAAUUGCAGAAUUCAGUGAAUCAUCGAAUCUUUGAACGCACCUUGCACCCUUUGGCAUUCCGAAGGGUAUGCUCGUUUGAGUGUCAUUGUACUCUCACACUUCCGAUCUUUGGAUUGGGAGCGGUGGACUUGGGUGUUGCUGCUUACUGUGGCUCACCUCAAAUCGAUUCGUGCACCUCUUGGUUGGACAUAGUACGGCGUGAUAAGUGUCUUCGCCGGCACCUCAGUAGAGGGUGGCUGAUCGGGAGCUCUGCUUCAAACCGUCCUCGGACAACAACUGACAACUUGACCUCAAAUCGAGUAGGACUACCCGCUGAACUUAAGCAUAGCAAUAAGCGGAGGA
rnacentral:misc_RNA from 1 species